rnacentral:misc_RNA from 1 species
UCUCGCUUAUCACGAGCAGUUUCCCUAGUGUGCCCGGCAUAACCCGCUGGUAACUAAGGAUGAGGGUUGCGCUCGUUGCGGGACUUAACCCAACAUCUCACGACACGAGCUGACGACAGCCAUGCAACACCUGUCUUCCCACCGGCCGAACCGAAGCGGUCCAUUUCUGGUCCGCGCGUGGGAGAUGUCAAAAGGUGGUAAGGUUUUUCGCGUAGCAUCGAAUUAAACCACAUGCUCCACCGCUUGUGCGGGUCCCCGUCAAUUCCUUUGAGUUUUAGCCUUGCGGCCGUACUCCCCAGGCGGCAUGUUUAACGCGUUAGCUGUACCACUGAAGCCUAGGGCUCCAACGGCUAACAUGCAUCGUUUACGGCGUGGACUAC